AAUAGAUACCCCGGUAGUCCACGCCGUAAACGUUGGGCGCUAGAUGUGGGGACCUUUCCACGGUUUCCGUGUCGUAGCUAACGCAUUAAGCGCCCCGCCUGGGGAGUACGGCCGCAAGGCUAAAACUCAAAGGAAUUGACGGGGGCCCGCACAAGCGGCGGAGCAUGCGGAUUAAUUCGAUGCAACGCGAAGAACCUUACCAAGGCUUGACAUACACGAGAACGGGCCAGAAAUGGUCAACUCUUUGGACACUCGUGAACAGGUGGUGCAUGGUUGUCGUCAGCUCGUGUCGUGAGAUGUUGGGUUAAGUCCCGCAACGAGCGCAACCCUCGUCGCAUGUUGCCAGCACGUUAUGGUGGGGACUCAUGUGAGACUGCCGGGGUCAACUCGGAGGAAGGUGGGGAUGACGUCAAAUCAUCAUGCCCCUUAUGUCUUGGGCUUCACGCAUGCUACAAUGGCCGGUACAAAGGGCUGCGAUGUCGUAAGGCGGAGCGAAUCCCAAAAAGCCGGUCUCAGUUCGGAUUGAGGUCUGCAACUCG
rnacentral:rRNA from 1 species